GCGGGAGUAGCUCAGUUGGUUAGAGCGCCACGUUGCCAACGUGGAGGUCGAGGGUUCGAACCCCUUUUCCCGCUCCA
rnacentral:tRNA from 1 species